AAUUUUAAGAUAAUUAAAGACUAGAUGAACUGAACUGAGCCAGACCAAAGGGUGCAGUCAUUUGAAAUAUGUUUUCCAUAUUAAUUUGCCUAUGUCUCUGUGCAGCAAGAGCAGACUGCUGAUGUCAAAGGUACUCCUGUCCUGUACUGGCUUCUAAUAUACAAACGUGAGGAAGACCCACAAUUCUUCAAAGUUUGGAAUAUUAAAGAGUCACCAGAGCCAGACAUCAGCAGCACCUCUGUUGGCAUUCUGACCGUCAGCAACAACAAUACAAGUUCAGUGCAUUUCUGUCCGCUCAGUACAGCUGUGGUGGAAGAUGAGCUUGUGAUAGGCGACAUUCCCAAAACAUUUUUGAGUGCUAAUGUUUGUAGGGAAAGGGCAGCCAAAGAAAAGACAGUUUUAUGUGGGAAAAGUGUAAAAAAAAAA